UACAGAGGGUGCAAGCGUUGUUCGGAAUUACUGGGCGUAAAGCGUGCGCAGGCGGUUCGCCAAGUCAGGUGUGAAAUCCCCGGGCUUAACCUGGGAAUUGCGCUUGAAACUAGCGGGCUUGAGUGUGGCAGAGGGGGGUGGAAUUCCACGUGUAGCAGUGAAAUGCGUAGAGAUGUGGAGGAACACCGAUGGCGAAGGCAGCCCCCUGGGUCAACACUGACGCUCAUGCACGAAAGCGUGGGGAGCAAACAGG
rnacentral:rRNA from 1 species